UUGGCAUAACCGACUUACUCGCAGCCAACAAUGGCGAGCCACUCUCACUCACACAGAUUGUUGCUUCCCUCGCUUCACCUUCUCCAAACACAGUUGCUGUCACGAAUCAUGCUCUUCCUAGUGAGGAAGCGUGUGUUUAGUGUAGAGGUGAGGCAGGGCGAGGCCUAUUAUGGUCUCACUCGCAUGUCGAAGUGGUUGGUGGGGGCCAAGGAGUCAGGUUUCGCACCUAUGUUGAUGAUGUUGAGCCACCCCACCUCCAUUGCGCCAUGGUAUUGCCUGAGCCGGUGUGUGAAGGAAGGGGAGAGCGACGCUUUUAAGGUGGCCUAUGGGAGUCUGUUGUGGGAGUAUGCCUCAGAGAACCCUGGAUAUAAUGGCUUAUUCAACGAGGCCAUGACUAGCAAUGCUAGGGUCAUUUUCCGGGCUUUGUUGUCUGAGUAUGAGUCAGGGUUUUCCGGCGUAACAUCGUUGGUUGACGUCGGGGGUGGAACAGGGACAGCAGUGAGUGAGAUAGUGAAGGCGCAUCCGCAUAUCUCUGGCAUCAAUUUCGACCUCCCUCAUGUUGUGUCGACUGCAACAGAGUACCCUGGCGUGGUUCAUGUUGGGGGUGAUAUGUUUGCUUCCAUACCCCAUGCAGAUGCUGUUUUCAUGAAGGUAUGAGUACUCGCUUCUCUCUCAAUAUGUAUAUGUGUUUGUUAAAUAAACGGCAAGGAAGGGCUGAAUCAUUCCAGGUCCAGAGUACUCUGUGAUGAAAAUUUGAAGUUCUUCAAAAAUUUGAGAAGUCUCGUUGCUAUGACAGAGGAAAUUUAUAUUAAUUUGAAGUUUCUUUUCAAUAAAUAGUCGGGGACGAAGUUUUUCAAAGGAACUUCUCUUUUUUCCAAAAACUCCUCAUGAUUCCAAAAAAAAACUUUACAAAAACUAGAGUCAACUACGCUUCUCAAUUUUUCUUAGCUAAUGUCUUAAGUAUGUCUACAAAGUUCAAUUUAUCUGAGAAAUCUGAUCAACUAUCUCCCAAAUUGGACUUUUUAGACGAGUCCAAUACAUUUUUUUUUGUAUUUGCCCCGAAUAAAAAAUCAAAUCAAUGGAGGCCAAAAUGCUCUUCUUCUCUGUCUACCCUUUCUCCUCUCUCUACCCACUUUCUCUCCCUCUACCCGCCGUCUCUCAAUGCCCGCUCUCUCUCUCCCUCUCUUUAAGCUAGUGCUACUCUCACUUUCUCUCUCUAGCGCCCCAUUAUUGUUAAGCUCCUGAACUUCCGAGCUUCACGUGGAAAACUCUUUUGCUCUGUAUCAUCAACAAUUUCCACUUGUUUUUGAAACCCCUGAUCACCUCCACUCUCACCACCUACAACCACUUCCUCUAAGCCGUUCUCUUUCUCUGUUUAGAAACCUCAUUUUCUCUCUCUACACGGCUGUAAAUCUAAUGAGAUGCUUCGCCCGGUGAUUCUCUUUGAAUUGUUCUCCGGAACGGGAUGACAAUCGCCCGAAAAACUCAACCUCCAUUCUAAUUGAAGCGCAGAAUUAGUAAAAAACAUAAAGACAAAAUCAUCCUUGAGCAUGUAAAUGGCCACCCCAUCUUUGCUAAGAUCCUUCAGAGACUAAAAAUCCAAUCAGAGUUCCAUAAAAUGAGAUGUGAAACAUAUUCGUCUAAAUAACAGAUACCUAGUAGUUCAAGUAAGAAAAUGGUAAUGAAAAGACAUUGGGCAUUGGAACUCAACAGGAAGGGUCUGUGAUUUUCUGGCCGGAAUAGGGACCUUGGCGCCCGGGAAAUCAACAAGUUUCUGACUUUUGGCCGGAGAAUGGGUUCUUGGUUACCAGUAAAAUGGUAGCUUCCAAUAUAUGACCGAAAACCAGACUUGGGAAAUCACAAAAACAGGACUUUAGUAACCCUAAAAAUUACUAGCUUGGCCGGAAAAGGGGCCAUUUGUUGCCAAAAAUUAGGGGGGUUUCUAUUUCUUGGCGUAAGCUAUGCGGAUUUCUGAAUUUGGUCCGAAACCGGGACCUCUUGGUCUGGAAAUCAAUGGGGUUCUUAUUUUUGGAAGGAAAAUGAGACAUUGCCGAGAAACCAGCUGGUUGGCCCGAAAUAGUGCUUUGUGCCCAUAGACUAGGGAUCUUGGCUGCUAGAAAACCACGUGCGCUCUUAUUCCUCUCGCCGGGAAGGUAAGCCACAGAGAGAGAAAACCAGCGAGUAGAGAGAGAGAGGGAGAGACGUGGGUAGAGAGAGAAAAGGAGAGAGGGCGGGCGGAUAGAGAAAAAAAGAGAGGCUGGCCAAAGAGAAUGAAAGAGGAGAAGGUAUUUUAGUGUUUUUUUUUUUUUGACCAAGAUAAAUACAAGAAAAUAGUGGAGAGAAUGAAAGAGGAGGAAGGUAUUUUAGUUUUUUUUUUUUUGACCGAGAUAAAUACAACAAGAAUAGUAUUGGCGUCUAGGGGUGUGAUAUUAAAAAUAUAGAGGGGAGGAUGUCUACCAAGUUCAAUUUGGUUGGGAUGUGAUGUAAAAAUCCACCCCCUAUGGUAUUUUCUUUCAUGUUAAAGGGUAUUUUUGUCACUAAAAUAUGUUUUUUUAGUGGAGGUCCAUAAAUGGGUCUUUUUAGAUAAAAAAACAUGGGUGAGUGAGGGAGAUAGGAACUUGCCCCGAGAGAAGCUUGCGGUUGGAAAUGGGGGGUUUUGCAACAAAACCCUAUCACCAUCAUUUGAGGCUCAUCUUGGGCUGUUUUUUCGGCAUUUCUUCACGGCAUCGGUGAGUUAAAGAAAAGAGUCCAUUGUAGGUGGUUUUGUGGUAAGCCGUUCUUUUGUUUGAGCUUUUUUUGAGAUUGUAUGUGAUAACUCUACAUAAUCCCAAUCUUGUAAAUUUUUUCUCUUGAUAGUGAAUAUAUCUUUGCCGUCUUGCUCGUGGAUGUAGCCCAUCUUUUGUGAACCACGUAUAUGUGCAUGUCUCUCUCUAUUUUCAUUUGUGUUGUUCUGUGAUGAUUUUUUAUAUUGCUUAUUUUAUUAUUUUUAUACUUUUUCCCAUUAUAUUAAACUUGUUAUUGCAUCUUGGACAUGUUAUUUGAGUGUUGAAAUCAUUGUGGUGUAGUGCUCACUACAUCUAGUAGGAUUUGAAAUAUCCUAAUUUGUUCAAAAGGGGUGAUUGGGUUAUCCAAAUUUUUCAACAAAUUUAGGGGUAUAUGUAAUUUUCCCAUGUUUUAACCCUUUCUACUCCAUAUCUUUCUCCAAGGCUAGCCAUCAUAGUUAGACCCGAGCCUAGAUUCUUUGUUUGUUUUUGGGUUCGGGAAGGCCACAAAUUCAAACAUGGGAUGUGGUGUUGAAAUCGUUAUCCUUGUAACUAAUGAAGCCCAUGAAAUCCCAAUAGCCUGGUCAUGUUCUCGGUAUUGAUGGGUUUAUUGUGUUUUCCGAUUGCAGUGGAUAUUGCAUGAUUGGGAGGAUGAGGAUUGCAUAAAGAUCUUGAAAACAAUGCAAGAAAUCAAUCCCUAAAAAUGGCGGGAAGCUGAUAAUCGUUGAUGCAGUUUUACGACCAGAGAAAGACACCAGUUCCUUUGCCAAUUCAAGGUUGGCAUUCGACCUCCUCAUGGUUCCCUCUCGACAGGGGGCAAAGAAAGGACGGAGGAAGAGUGGAGGGAUGUAUUGAGUCAAGGAGGAUUUGGUAUAUGCAGGAUUGUAUCACUCCGAGCUCUCCAAUCUAUCAUCGAGGCUUACCCUCUGGAGUAGUAAAAUCCUUGUCCUCGGCAUAUUGAAGGACAAUUGGAAAAUAUUUUGUGUUUUUUUCCUUUUUUGGUUAGGUUUUAAGGAACUGAAUCUAAAAUCCCAGACAAGCCGUACAACAUUUAUUCUUUUCAAUAUAUUAUGUUAAAUGAAGCAAAUUAUAGUGAGGCAGUUACGUACACUAUGUUUGAAAUAUGUCUCUCUAUUAUAGUUUUAUACAAUGUGUAAUACAGUGUUUGGGUCUGAAUCGUUCUGUCAUUGGAUCAUUUUAGAAUUAGAACACCAAAUCCGAUGCAGAUCACCAAUUCAUGGAGUUCUAAUACAAUAAGAAAGAAAGAAAAAAUUGAAAACAUUUAAAUUGAAAUCCUUUUUAAAUCAUAGAUUUCUUUUUGCUCAAUGUUAAAUUAAAAUUUAAUCUUGUAAAAUUUAAGAAAUUUUAAUCUUUCAAAACUUAUUAAAUUGAUUGUAAAUCAUUCGAAACUAAAAAAUCUAUGUUUACAAUUGUUUUAAAAUAUGUGCUUAAAUUUUAAGCAAUGAAAUCUAUUUAAAGUUUGAAAUUUAAAAAUUGAAAACAUGAAUUUUGCAAUCUAUUUAAAUUUUGAAAAUGAAACUUCAAACAAUUUUUUUAAAAAAAACUAUUUAAAGUUUUAAGGAAAAGGUUUAUAUAUGGAUGCAACCAUAUAAUGUAGAACUACAGAUGCACCUCAAAAAUCCAUCGGAAAAGGUAGUUUUAAUAUUGAAAAACCCUUUAAUUGAUCAUCUCGACAUCGAGAUGUAUGACCAUGAAAAAUAAAAAGAUUUUAAGUCUAAAAAAUAGUGCAUUUUACAACUUAAUAUCUACACCGUCUAUUUUCAAGAUUUUCAUAUGUUUAUAGAUCUACUUGAUUUUAACCAUUUUUAAAUUUUAAACUUUUAUAAUUAGAUAUAAAAAUAGAUUUUGAGAUAAUCUUAAAAACAUUUUACAUCAAUAUUAUAUACCAUGAUAAAAUUUGAAGGUGAACCUUACCUCUACAGGCCAACUGCACCCAAGUUUUAAAUACUGUAAAAAUUCAUCAAACAUAGAUUUAAAGUAGAUUAAAAGAUAAAGUUGAAAAAAUUGAAAAAAAAUUCUAUUUUCCAUCUUUUGAAUGCAUCUAAUAGGAGCAAAGAUCCAAAAAACAAGAGGUGGAUAUUAGUUUAAAAAGAUCCAAAGAGUUGUCUUCUUGAGAGAAAAUGUACAAAUAAACAUAAGAGAAUAUGGUGGAUGGGUGAGAGAAAUGGAGAAAAAAACGAAUUUUCAUCUUAGAGAUUUUUGGUUUGAUUUGAAACUUUGUUUAGAUCAAGGAGAGGAACAAUUUGCGAUGAAGUUUUUAAGAGUUCGGUGAAAAAAUGGGAGAGGAAUCUCAGAUUUGUCAUUUUGGUUUCAACUUUGUCUUGUUGAUUUUUAGUUUUUGAUGAAAAUUGUUGUGUAGAAAUGAAAGAAGGCUUAAAAAUGACAAUGUUUGAACUUGUUUCAUAAAUUUUGUUGAUUAAAUAAGGAAUCCUAGGGAGAUGUAUUGUUGCUCGAUUGAACUUGUUUCAUAAAUUUUGUUGAUUAAGGAAUCCUAGGGAGAUGUAUUGUUGCUCGAUUGAACUUGUUUCAUAAAUUUUGUUGAUUAAGUAAGGAAUCCUAAGGAGAUGUAUUGUUGCUCGACACCAAUUGCUAACCACUCAAGCCUAAGCACAACUAUUCCAACAGCUUUCUUUAGCACGAGGACCAUAAUCAACAUCAAUAUUCUUUGGGAAUAAUAUAAGGCAACAUAGUUGUAAUACACGCUCCUUAUUCUUUGGGAAUAAUAUAAGGAAAAUUGCUUCACGAGGGUUGGACCGCAUUUCUAUAUAUGCGGUCCAAAAAGUGUAUAGCAUCCAUCGUAAAGAUGAGUGCAAUGUUGAGAAAUCAGGAAAAUCCAAUCUUCCUACACAACAAAUUGGGAUAUCUCAAAUCCCACUUUCACCACUCAAAUAAAAUGCCCAAGAUGCAAUAACAAGUGCAAUAUAACUAGGAAAAAUAUAGAAACAAUAAAACAAGCAAUAUGGGAAAUCAUCAAUGCACAACACAAAUGAAAAUAGAAAGGGACAACACAUAUACGUAGUUCACCCAAGAUGGGUUACGUCCAUGGGCAAGACGACAAUAGUGUAUUCACUAUCAAGAUGAAAAGUUACAGGAUUGGGGUUAUGCAGGGUUGCGUCAUACAAUAUCAAGAAAUGCUCAAACAAAUAACUUCCUACCAUAAAACUACCUACAGUCGAUCCCUUUUUUCGAUUCACUGUAGCCACGAAGAAAUGCCGACAAAAUGGCUCAAGAUGAACCCCGAUGGUGGCGCUAGGGUUUCACAGUGACGCCCCCAAUUUUUCUCGAAACUCGCUUUCUGUUUUCACUCCUUUUUAUAUCCCUUUUUCUUACGCCCGUGCACUUCCUUCUCUUGAGCCCACGCGCUCCUUUCUCUGGCGCCCGCGCUUCCUUCUUCUUCACGCUUGCGAGCCUCUAUCUCUUUUUAUAACCUCUUUUAAGGGGCUCCAUCCACAAAGAUGAAAAAGCCCUUGUUGAAGAGGGGAAAUGCCACAUGGGGGUGAUUUGGCAUCACGCUCCAAUAAUCUCCACCUUGAUGCAAAAUCACACCCUUGCCUUACCAAUCCAUCACUUCCUUUCUUUCUUGAAAUCUAGAGAAGUUAGGCUCCAUUCUAACUUCUCUACUUGGAUGGUUUUUAUAAGCAUAUCCGCAAGGUUGUCUUCGGUCAUGAUCUUGACCAAUCGAGCUCGUUCAUCUUCAACAACUUGCGGGAUAUAGUGAUAUUGAGCCAAUAUGUGCCUUGACCUCUUGUGGGGAACCGAGUUCUUGGCCAAAGGUAUAUCACUCAUAUUGUGACAAAAUAGUUCCAUGGGCUUAGACAUAGUGCCCAUUUCACCUAUCAACCCUUGAAGCCACACAACUUCUUUUGAUGCCUCCGUUGCCGCCAUGUACUCGGCUUCAGUAAUUGGCAAUGCUACCGUGUCUUGGAGCCUUGACAUCCAACUUACCAAUCCAUUUGCAAAUCGAAAAACAAAUGCGGUAGUCGACCUACCUCUAUCAAGAUCACCGGCAAAAUUGCAUCCAUAAAACCUUAUAAUGGAAGUGGGUCCUUGCUAAAUAUGAUUGCAUAACUAGUUGUACCUCUUAAGUACCGAAGUAUCCAUUUUGUUGCUUCCCAAUGAACCUUUCGGGGUUUUCCAUAAACCGCCUUAGAACACCAACCGCAUGCGCGAUAUCCGGUCUUGUACAUAUCAUGACAAACAUUCAACUUCCAAUCGCAUUUGUAUAAAGAACCUUAGCCAUGUUUCUUCUUUUUUCCUCUAUUUUCGGACUUUGCAUUGAAGACAAAUUGAAAUGAGGCGCUAAGGGUGUCUUCACCAGGUUUGCAUCUUUCAUGCCAAAAUUUUCAAGCACCCUUUUUAUGUAACCCUUUCGAGAUAUUGACAAAAUUCCAUUUUGUUUAUCCCUUUUAAUUUCAAUCCCAAGGAUUUGCCUAGCCGGCCCUAGAUCCUUAAUCUCAAAUCUUUUACUGAAAGAAGGCUUGAGCUCAUCAAUUUUUACCUUAUCUUUGCACACCAAAAGCAUGUCAUCUAUAUAUAAUACUAAAAUCAAGUAUGUACCAUCAUAAAAAAACUUUAAAUAGAUGCAAUGGUCAUACUUAUUUCUUGUGUACCCAAGGCUCACCAUGAACAUAUCAAAUAUUCUAUACCAUUGUCUUGAUGCUUACUUGAGCCCAUACAAGGACUUCUUCAAUUUGCACACAAGUCCUUUUUUGCCCUUCUGUAUGAAGCCUUCUGGGUGUUGCAUGUACACUUACUCUUCAAGCUUUUUAUGCAAAAAAACUGUCUUCACAUCCAUUUGCUCAAGUCUAAAUCAUGCAUAACAACUAAACCAAACACCAAGCGAAUUGAGACCAACUUGGCAACCAGUGCAAAAAUUUCAUCAAAGUCAAUCCCUUCUUCUUUCGAAAAACCUUUUCCUACCAAUCUUGGCCUAUAUCUUUCAAGCUUGCCAUUAAGCCUCUUCUUUAUCUUGAAUACCCAUUUACAACCAAUUGAAUUUCUACCAUCUAAUAGAGCGCCCUUGUGCCAAAGGCACAACUUCAUCAUGAUGGCCAUGUGGUUCUACAUCUUGACUUACUAGCUCUUCAUGCUCUUCACUAUGAUCAAUGAGUAUAUUCUCAUAAGGCAUAGUUGUACUUGGUGGAAGUAUUUCGAUAUUGCUUUGAAAUUCUUAGCUCACUUGUUGCACUUCUUGACUAUUGUCCUUUAUCAUCAUCCUUUUUACCAAUACCGUAGAUUCAUCAAAAUGAACAUCACGACGAGUAAUUAUUUUUCAAAUACUUGGAUCCCAUAACCGGUACCCCUUCACACCUUUGAUAUAACCCACAAAGAUGCACUUCUUUGACCUUGGAUCCAACUUGGUUAUUUGGCAACUUGGAAUAAGUGCAUAUGCAUCACAACAAAUUUUUUUUAAAUCGGAGUAGUCACUUGAAGUUCCAUACCAUACCUCAUUAGGAGUUUUACUUCUUAAUGCUAUCGAAGGUGAUUGGUUGAUAAGAUAACAAGCCAUUGAUACAAAUUUCGCCUAUAAUUCUUAUUCUAAGCCGUCAUUGCGUAACAUACAUCUUGCACGCUCCAUCAAAGUGCGAUUCGUCCUCUCAGCUACACCAUUUUGUUUAGGAUUGUAGGCAUUUGUGUAAUGCUCGUAUUUCCCUCGGCCUUGUAAAAUUUUUCGAACUCCUUUGAUACAAACUCUCCACUAUCAUUUCAAAGAACUUUGAUGUGAUGCCCCAUAGUUCUUUCCACUUUGGCUUUAAAACUUCUUAAAUGCACAAAACACAUCACUUUUGGAUUUGAGAGUUUUGAUCCAUACAUUUCUUGAGAAGUCAUCAACAAAUGAAACAAAAUAUAAUGCGCAUCCAUAAGAUGUAGUUUGUGAAGGGACCCAUACAUGCGAGUGAAUAUAAUCAAGCUUGUGCUGGCUUGUAUGUUUCCCGGUCUUGAAUGGUUGUCUAUGUUGAUUCCUAUAGACACAAUGCUUACAAAAUUCAGAUCCAUCAACUUUAUGUGUAGGAAUAAAAUUUCUUUUCAUCAAGACCUCUAUACCCUUAUUACUCAUAUGCCCCAAUUUUCUAUGUCAUAGGCGAUAUGGAAUUUUCUCACAUUUAACCACAGAAUUUACUUCAUUAUUUGUUAUUGUGCUUCCCAAUAAAUUGUACAAGCUCCCAACUAGAACUCCUGUAUCACAAUUAGAGCUCCUUUUGAUACUUUGAUUACUUCACAUUGGCCGGUGAACUUAUAACCUUCUGAAUCUAGCGAAGAGAGGAAAAUCAAGUGCUUUUUUAGUUCCGACACAUUCCUAACAUCCUUAAUUGCCUGAAUAGACCCAUCAAACAUCUUUGGUGAACUGAACCCAUUCCAACUAGCUUGUUAGUGGAAUUAUUUCCCAUGGAUACCGAUCCUCCUUCACAUGACUCAUAUGAGUCAAACCAUGAUCUUUGUGGGCACAUACGAUGGGUGGCUCCACUAUCAUGUAACCAGUUUUGAUAGAAUAUAGAAUUAUUUGUCACCAUCAAUACUUCAUCUUCAAUGAACCCGGAUGUAGACUCUUUAAUUUGAUUUUCUUCAUUCUUGGAUUCACUUGGCUUUUACUUUUCGCAUUAGGAGCUUUGGAAGAAUUUACUCCAUUUCUCUUAAAACAAUUCUUCUUUAUAUGACUGGGCUUCCCACAAUGCCAACACACAUUCUUGUUAUUGGGCCCUCUAGAUUUUGAUUGAAAUCUUGAAUUACUUUUUGAAUAGUUCCUUGUUGAAUUACCCCGUUCAUUCGAUCGACCUCUUGCCACACUAUUCGAUUCUAUCGAACUUCCCAAAGAUGCUUUCUUUCGAAGUUCAUCGGCAAGUAGGGCACUACACAUCGAGUCCAAAUAAAGAGAAUCCUCUUUACUACAACUCAAUGUAGUAACAAGGUUAAUGAAUAAAGCAAGGUGACCGCUUUAUCUUCAUCAUCCAUUCUCACACCAAUACUCUCAAGUUGACAAAUGAGGUUAUUAAACUCAUUCAAAUGCUGUGACACAUUUGCACCUUCUUUCAUUAUCAAGGCAUACAAUUUUCUUUUCAAGAAAAUUCGGUUUAUGAGAGAUUUUGUUUGAUACAAACUUUACAAUUUUUCCCACAAAUCUUUUGCCUUCUUUUCACCAACAAUAUUAAACAAAAUUUCAUUCGUUAAACAUAAGCGAAUAGUGGUCCGUGCUUUCAUAUCGAGUUCAACCCAAUCAUCAUCGGUCAUAUUUACCGGUUUCUUAUCCCUUUCAAGUAAUGCUUUCUGUUGCCCUUGAUGUACAAAUAAAUGUUGCAUUUUUAAUUUCUAAAUUUCUAAAUUAUCUUUCCUAUUAAACUUCUUCACCUUAAACUUAUGAGGUGCCAUUUUCUCCCAAAAUACUACACUAAUUCCUUGAGCUCUGAUACCACUUGUUGAUAAAUCUAGAAAACCCAAUCUUCCCGUACAACAAAUUGGGAUAUCUCAAAUCUCACUUUCACCACUUAAAUAAAGUACCUAAGGUGCAAUAACAAGUACAAUAUAAUUGGGAAAAAUAUAGAAACAAUAAAACAAGCAAUAUGAGAAAUCAUCAAAGCACAACACAAAUGAAAAUAGAGAGGGACAUGCACAUAUACAUGGUUCAUCCAAGAUGAGCUACGUCUACAGGCAAGACAGCAAUGAUGUAUUCACUAUCAAGAGAAAAAAUUACAGGAUUGGGGUUAUGCAGAGUUACCUCAUAUAAUCUCAAUAAAUGCUCUAACAAAUAACUUCCUACCAUAAAACCACCUACAGUCGAUCCCUUUCUUUGAUUCACUGCAGCCGCGAAGAAAUAUAGACAAAAUGGCUCAAGAUGAGCCCCGAUGGUGGCGGUAGGGUUUUACAGUGACAACCCCAAAUUUUCUCCUCUUGAAACUGGCUCUCUAUUUUCAACCCUUUUUCUUAAGGCCCGCGCACUUCCUUCUCUCACGCCGACACGCUCCUUUCUUUCGCGCGCGUGCCUUCUUCUUCUUCACCCCCACACACUUCUUUCUCUCUUUAGGAAAAAUUUUAUAUAAGGUUGUAACGUUAUAAUGUAGAAUUACGGAUGUACCUCAAAAAUCCAUCGGAAAAGGUGGUUUUAAUGUUGGAAAGCCUUUUAAUUGAUCAUCUCAACAUCGAGAUGUAUGAACAUNNNNNNNNNNNNNNNNNNNNNNNNNNNNNNNNNNNNNNNNNNNNNNNNNNNNNNNNNNNNNNNNNNNNNNNNNNNNNNNNNNNNNNNNNNNNNNNNNNNNNNNNNNNNNNNNNNNNNNNNNNNNNNNNNNNNNNNNNNNNNNNNNNNNNNNNNNNNNNNNNNNNNNNNNNNNNNNNNNNNNNNNNNNNNNNNNNNNNNNNNNNNNNNNNNNNNNNNNNNNNNNNNNNNNNNNNNNNNNNNNNNNNNNNNNNNNNNNNNNNNNNNNNNNNNNNNNNNNNNNNNNNNNNNNNNNNNNNNNNNNNNNNNNNNNNNNNNNNNNNNNNNNNNNNNNNNNNNNNNNNNNNNNNNNNNNNNNNNNNNNNNNNNNNNNNNNNNNNNNNNNNNNNNNNNNNNNNNNNNNNNNNNNNNNNNNNNNNNNNNNNNNNNNNNNNNNNNNNNNNNNNNNNNNNNNNNNNNNNNNNNNNNNNNNNNNNNNNNNNNNNNNNNNNNNNNNNNNNNNNNNNNNNNNNNNNNNNNNNNNNNNNNNNNNNNNNNNNNNNNNNNNNNNNNNNNNNNNNNNNNNNNNNNNNNNNNNNNNNNNNNNNNNNNNNNGGUACACCUUACUUUUACACUCUUACAAAUGAAUCCGUAUGCCAACUGCACCUUUUUUUAGAAAGGUUUUUUGGUCGAGUUUUAAAGGGUGAAUUUCAGAUAUAGCAAAUUGACAAUAUUAGAUGUAGCUAAUGUAGAUGACACAAAUUGCGGAGGCACCAGAUGGAUGACACCUAUAGGGGAGGCAUAUUGAAGCAUCACACCUAAAGACUCAUAAAAUGUGCGUAAAGUUCUCCAUUAAGAGUAUACUAUGUAAUUGUUCUAUUCAUUAAAAAAACUACUUAUAGAAUUUUAUAGGUUUAAAAUUUAGUGAACUAUUUUUCAAAAUGAGUAUUUUUAAAGAAAAAUUUGAAAAUUUUAAAUUUUUAAUAAAACUUUUAGGUGAUGGAUCAUGUGUUGAGAUGACCAUAUGUUACACUAUUAUUAAUUACUAGAAAAAGUAUCCCGUGUAUGUGGAAGGGUGGUAGGGUGCAGAAGCACCCUUCCAAGGGUUGAGAUCACGUAGGGCCAUGUCCGAGGUUUGAAAAUUAGUCUCAUAUUUUAUUUUGUUAUUUAAGUAAUACAUUUAUCUGAAUUUUCAACUAAUAAGUGUAAUUUGAUAAAUAUAACUAAAUAAAAAUGAUCAAACUACCUCUAUAUUUGUUUUGGUGAAUAAUUUUUAUUCAAAAUAUUUUUUUACUAAUUUUAUUCAAUCUUACAAAAAUAAAACUAAAAUUCAAAUUUCAGAUGAAUAUCAUUUUUAAAUAAAAAUAGAAAAUAAAAAACGACAUUCAUUAUUAGCCCUUGGAACCAUUAAAAAGGCUGUGGACGAAAUACAAACCUUAAUUACUAUUCUUGACCUAAUCAGCUUUUUAUUGCCGUUCUUAUAAAAUUUGAAUUAAGUAAUUCCGAACCAAGCCCCAAAUCUCAAAACAAUUUCUUGAAUGCCAUAUGGUGAGGAACUUGGUGGCGUUUGAGAUGAUACGUUCUUGUAUUUAUGUUGUUCUCUUCUCUGGAAUAAAGUUGUGACAGUUCUUUCCCUCUUUGUUUUUGUUUUGCUGUGUUGUAUUUGAUAAAGUUGUGAGAGUUAUUUCUCUCUCUGAAUAGGAGAUAGUCUCUUUGCCAGUUCUUGUUUUAGUUCAUUGUGAUCAAGAUAGAGAGUUUCCCCAUGGAAAAUCGAUGAUUUUUAUUUGGUUCGUUGGGUGUUUCGUCCCGCAACUCUAAACAGAUUCAGUACCACCUGUCAUCAACAUAGCCUCUUUCCUGUACCACUUGUCAUCAACAUAGCCUCUUCCCAACUACUUUUGUUUUGAUUUUUAAACAAAAGUUUAAUAAAAACUAAUACAAAGUUACGACCUCAAACUGUUGGAAAAAAGAUGCGACUCAAAAAUCCAUCGAAUAAGGUUGUUUUGAGAGUGAAAAACCUAUUAAUUGUUCAUCUCAAACUUGAGAUGUACGAAUGUGGGAAAAAAAAAGAUUUUACAAGACGUGCCUCAAAAAUCCAACGAAUAAGGUUGUUUUGGUAGAAAAAAAUCUUUUAAUCAUUCAUUUCAACCUUGAGAUAUAUAGAUGUGGGUAAAAAAAGAUUUUAAAGUACCAAAAAUAAUACAUCUUAUAAUAUAUUAUCUAGAUUGUCCGUUUUGAAGAUUUUUUUAUAUUUGUAGAUCCGUUUGAUCUGCAUCAUUUUUUGAGUUAUAAAUUUCAUAACUAUAUAUGAAGUAGUUAUUUAGCUCAUCAUUGAAAUAUCCGACACCAAAGUUACAUAUUUCUAAAAAUUUUGGAGGUGCGGCUUAGCCUUGUAAAGAAGCUAAAAAAUGGAAACUUUUUAUUAUAGCCUUGCCAGAGUUUGUCUCUAAUUAAUGUUUUAUUUUUAAGUUAAUUAGAAUUAUCAAUCAACUUCUUAACUCAUAAAAUGAAUUAUUCAAAUUAUGAUUUUAAUUUUAAACAUUUAAAUCCACUCAACUAUACCUUCAAAGGUCUUUCUUAAGCACAAGGCGGUCUAAGAACCACUUGGCAGUUUAUAUAUUAUCACUAAAACCAUUUAUAAAUUAAAUUUAAUUUUGUUUAAUAAAUAAUUCAAUUAUUUUAAUUUAUGCUCUGAAAAAGGAAUUAUUCUUAAAAUGAUUCAAAUUUUCAAAAAUUCAGACUUUUAGUUUUUAGCUUUUAAAAUAAAUAUUUGAAAAAAUAUAUAUUUAAAUUUGAUUAAUUAUUUUCUAAGACAUACUCAAAUUUUUGUUGAUAUGGUGCAAUUUUGGAUAAUUUAGAAAAUUUAUUGUUAAAAUAAUGAAGGACAUUAAUGUCUUUUCCAAUAAAGGCAUUAAUUAUCAUUAGAAAAAAAAAAGAAGACUUUUGUGAUACAUUUAUAUGACUUUGGUAUUUAAUAUGAUGUACAUGGUCCCCUAUUGAGAUAUCACACCAAACGACUUAUAAAAAUGUAACACUAGUGCUUAAAAUGCUCCUUAAGAUUUGAACAUGAAAUAAUGAAUAAUAUGGAGAUUCUCUAUACAAAACUAAGGAGGGGAGGCGAUUUAUGAGAUCAACAACUGUUAAUGUAGCUUUAACCCCAAAGCUAUGGGGAAUAUGAAACUCAUGCGUAAGGGUCAUAACAACUUGAAGGAUAUGACGGAUUUUCCUUUUAGCUACGUCAUUCUGUUGUGGAGUAUAGGGACAAGUUUUUUGUAAUUUAAUAUCCUUAGUUUUCAAAUAUUCUUGAAAAUCAUGUGAUAAGUAUUCCUUCCAAAGUCUGAUCGUAAGAUUUUUAUUUUUAUACCAAUCUGGGUUGCAACUAUAGAUAAAAAAGUUUUUAGAUGGGAGAACAUACAUCACUAUGAAUAAGAUGAAUAUGUGCAGUUGCUUUAUCUACUCUAGUAGGAAAAGGCAUACACAUGAUUUUAUUCAAGGAAAAACUAAGAUAACAUUAGGUAAACAAAAAGGUGUACCAAGGGAAACAUAGAGUGAGAGAUUAUUUGUACAAGUAAUACUUAGUUUCUUCCAAUUAGCUGUAAGAAUCUGACUAUUACUUUGGUACGGUUUAGUGGGCAAUGUUUCACGAUUCAAAAAAUUGGCUCGAAUUAUUUCAUAUUCUGGGUGCAACUUCAUUAGGAUUUGCAUCACCUUCGUAUCUUCUUUUAUCUCCUUUAGGCUUCUAAUGCAACAAGCACCGGUGAUUAUCAUUAUACCUAUAGAUUCAUAUUAGCAUAAUAUUCUUGGUUGCUUUUCUCCCUCUUUCCAUAGGUAAACGUAUCAUACUCAAUUCGGAAUCGCCUUGCAAGAUUUGAUUGCUAAUAAAUGUUUUCCAGAUAUUCCCACAUUUCUUUUACAGUGUGGAAGCCUCUCAUUGGUCUUCCAAUAUCCAUAUCCACAGAGUCGAGGAUCCAUGAAACAAUAUUUGCAUUGUUGAUUUUCUAUUUCUGGAUUUCUUUAGUAUUGGAUGGAUCCAGUUGAGAUUUAGUUCCAUCAAUAAAUCCUCACAAACCUUUUCUUUCAACAAAAAACUAAAUAUGGAAGCUCCAAUCGGGAUAGUUUUUCCCAUCAAGUUUGAUAGCCAACACAUCUCUUUUUUCAAAAGCCAUGUACAAAUUGUAUGACCACCCUCUCAGACAUGAGCAAGAGCUUGGAUAUGUCAUCAAAACUCAGAUGCGCGAUUUUUUUUUUGUAACAAAAGCUAAAAACACUGAGACAAUGGAGCAAAGGAACUUUUCAAUGUAAUCUGAGGGAGGUCAAGUAACAAGCAAAUGUAAGAUGGUGACAGAGACUUUGAUGAUUUAUGCCCACGUGAAAAACAAACAACAAAUGGAGCUUUAAAAGAAAAAUCGGACGAAACCCUAGAAUCAAAAUAGAACCCUGACAAUGGAAUGACGACUUCAAAAAAAAGAGUGAGAACCCCAAAACCCCAACUGAAGAAGCAACCAAUAAAAAAAAAAAAAUGUCACUAGGGAUGAUGAAAAACAAUUUGCAACAACGAAAGAGGUCCAAAGAUAAUUAUUGGAGAUGGUGAAUACUGGUGACGGUUAAAACCAAUUUGCAAACACACUUUGCAAAACACAGUUUGCAACAGAAGCAAGAGGAUAAAAAGGUUUAAAGAAAGAGAUUAACGUGUUGGGACAAUAAUACCAGGGACGGUGAAAAAAUGUUAGAGACGGUGAGUACUAAAGGUACAAUGUGAUCACAAAGAAGCAACCCAAAUCUGAAAUGAAAAUUGAAAAAAAAAAUCCAUAAAGAAACUUCGACCAGAGAAGUAUCUUGUCGAAAAGGAAAAUUAGUACUGGAGGGGAAAGAUUGGUCAGAGAUAGCUGAUAUUGAAAAUUGUUUACUACAAUCUUGCUUCGAGAGAGAGAUCUAAGAUGGACGUAAGGAAUGAAAGAGAUUGAUUCAACAGACACAAGAUGGCCGAUCAAGGAACCAUUCAUACAUAGGAAUGAGCAACAGAUAGAAACGGUACACAAAUGAAACUUUGCUCUGAUACCAUGUAAAACACACAAAGAGGCAAAGGGAAAACCUAUAUCUAUUGGCUAUUUUCAACAUGCAUAUAUAAUAUAACCAGAGAUAACUUGCAUCGGAAGUUAGCCUACAAUAAGUAACUUUCUAUACACGAUAUAAUAUAAAAUAAAUUCAAGAUCUUCAAUUGUCUCUACAUUCCGUACUAAGCUUCAAUCCUCAAAAUAAUUUUUGAAUUCCACGUGGUGACGAACCUGGUUGCGUCUGAGAUGAUAUGUUCGUGUAUUUGUGUUGUUCUUUUCUCUAGAAUAAAGUUGUGAAAUUUCUCUCUUUCCAUAUUUUUGUUUUGUUAUGUUCUAUUACAUAAAGUUGUGAGAGUUGUUUCUCUGUCUAAAAAGGAUGUAGUCUCUUUGCCAUAAUGGUGUGCUUCCUGGUUUAGUUCGUUGUGAUGUAUGAAUGAAUCAAUAAAGAGACUUUCUCUUAUGGAAAAACGACGAUAUUUAUAUGGUUGGUUGUGUUUCAUCCUGCAACUCUAAAUAAACUUGGUACUACCCAUCAUCAACUAGGCUUUCUCCCAACUAUUUGGAAUUUGCCUUAAUUUUAAACAUAAGUUUAGAAAAAGUUUAUACAAGGUUACAACAUCAAACUAUAGAAAAAAGACACGCAUAAACAAUUCCAGGAAAAUGGUUGUUUUGCUGGUGAAAAACCAUUAGUUGAUCAUCUCAACCUUGAGAUGUAUGGAUGUGGGGAAAAAAAAGAUUUUAAAGUACAAAAAAUGGUACGUUUUGUAAUAUAUUAUCUAGAUUGUUUAUUUUCAAUAUUUUUAUGUGUUUGUAGAUUUUCUAGAUCUGUACACUUUUUUCAGUUUUAAAUUUCAAAACUAGAUGUGAAAUAGUUUUUCAGGGCUUCAUUGAAAUUCUCGCAACCAAAUUUCAUCUUUCUAUGAAUUUUGGAGGUGCGCCGUAAUUCUAUUGUUUUAGGAUGAUAUGCAUUGCUGAACCGUAGAAUCGUACCAAGCAUUGACCAUGGUGUUCGCCAAAAAUGACUUGGUAAUCUAGUAUCUCGAUCGGAGGUGAUCGACUUAGAUACACCAUGAAGGGGAACUUCUUUAAAAAAAAUAUAUUUUCUUUUGACAGGGAAUGAAAUGUGUCAUUUUCCAAAAAUGGUCCACUAUUACAAACACAAAAUUAUCUGUUUUGACCGCAUAAGUUUUGAGCAAUGUUGUAAAACUAGGGUGACCCCAAACUUGUCCACCAUACUCGUACUUGGCAAUAUAUCGAGUCCAAGUAGGUGGCAUACAAAACUCUAGUGACUCCAGCAUUUUGGUAUUAUAACUUGUAUGGACUUGGUCGGGUCCUUGAUAGACGCAACCAAGUCUGUAUGAAUGAAAUUGACUCAGGAUCCGACCAAGUCCCGAGUCUUGGUUUUGAACAUUGAGGUAUUACCAAAACUUUAUUAUUUUCACCACAUUUCAAUCUCAAAUUGAGCGAUGAAGUAAAUAAGAGAAGCAAAUGAUGCUUCAAUUUUCACGUGUAAUAAUUUCAAGCUUGUGGCUAUUUAAGUGACUGCAAGAACCUCAAAAUCCCUAUAUAUAUGUAAAAAGAAAGAGAAGGAUACAAGAGCAUAAAGUAGAUGAACAUUCAAGAUGAGGAAGUUGAAGGCCAGGCUGAGUUUUGGUAGCUCACUCUGGCUUUCAUCGACUCCCUUGCACUAAGAUGUGCAGUCGAGCUUGGCAUAAAUAUAAUCAAGCAAUGGCGAGGCACUCACACUCACACACAAUGUUGCUUCCCUUUCCUCACCUCCUCCAGGUACACAAUUGUUGUCACGAAUGUUGCGCUUCCUCACUAGGAAGCGCAUGUUUCGUGUAGAGGCGAGGCAAGGUGAGGCCUAUUACACUAUAAUUACUAGGAAAAGUAUCCAGUCCAUAAGGACUCGCACCCUUCCAAUAGUUGAGAUCCAUAGGGCCAUAAUCGACAGCCGAGAGAUGGAUACGACGGGGAUCUGCAACAAAUUGAUUGACGAUCUGUACUGCAUGGGAUAUAUCUGGACGGGUCAUAGUGAGAUAAAGUAGAUUGUCAAAUAGUUGUCUAUAGAGAGUGGGAUCUAGAAGUUUGUCCCUAUUACCCUUUCUAUAUUUUACAUUCAAUUCCAUUGGUGUAUCCACUGGUUUAUCAUCAGAUAAGUUGGCCAGUUUAAUCAAUAUUUGGUGAUAUCCAUUAGGAGAAUAAUGAAUCUCUAGGCCAUGAAAGUAAGUUAAUGGACACAAAUCUUUAAUUUUAAAUGAGUGACUGAGAAGCUCUUUUGAGUGUUGUUUAUUAUCAAGGUUAUCAUCAACAUAUAGGAGAAUGAUUGUUAUCCUUGAAGAACAAUAGUGGGUAAAUAGCGAAUAGGCAUGAACAAAUUGUUUCAACCCAGCAUUCUGCACGACCUGUUGAAAUCGUUCAAACCAAGCUCUUGGAGCUUGUUAUAAACCAUACAAGGUUUUUUUCAAAUGACAGACUAGAGACUUGUCAUGGAAAUACUUGAGAGGAGGUCGCAUAUAUAUUGUCUCUUUUAAAUGUCCAUGAAGAAAAGUAUUCUUUGCAUUUAUCUGAGAGAUAAUCCGAUGACGAAUAGCUAAGAGGGUAAUUACUAUACGUAUAGUGGUCAUUUUAGCAACUGGAGCAAAUGUUUUGUAAUAGUCUAUGCUACUCCUAUUUGUAAUAUUGAGUAACUAGUCGUGCUUUAUAUUGCUCAAUUCCUCCAUUACAUUUAAGUUUCAAAGAAAAAACCUAUUUACUUCCAAUAAUAGAUAUAUUAGGAAGGCUCGGUAUAAGAUCCCAAGUGUUAUUUUCCAGCGCAACACUAAUUUCUGCAUCCAUAGCUUCUUUCCAGUAAGACAUUGUCAAGGUUUGCUAGUAGGUGGAGGGAAUAUCAACUGAAUUGAAAGAGGUAAAUAUUGAUCUAGGAAGUAAACAAAGAUUUAGGUGUUUGGAAAGAAUCUCACCUCUAUAAAGAGAAGUAAAAAUCAUCAUGGGAAAAACCAUAUCGUUCAGGUAGGUAAGUUACAUGUAAAGAACAUCGUAACUGGGUAGAGUUGUCAAAAGAAACAUGAUUAUGAGAAAAGAGGGAAUGAAGAGAAUCACUCACAAAUGGGGUGGAGGUUUGACCUCGCUUUGGUUUGUGAGAUGCAGAAAGCAUGGAUUUGUAUUGUUUGCCUUACUGUUGAUGCACUAAAAGCUGUGGUGAGUUAUCAGUGGUGUUGGCAUAUGAGAAGAAAGGAGCAGAACACCAUGUUGAUUAGGCAAUUAAAUAGUAAUACAAGCGGCAGCAUGACGACAUUAUAAGAAAUACGUAUGCAACGAGCUACUGGAUCAUAACAUAGAAAUCCCUUUUAGUCUAGACAAUAACCCACAAAAGCACAAGUGGCAGUUUGAACAUAAAAUUUUGUUCUUUCAUGUGUAGGGAGGUAAACAUAACAAACACAUCAAAAAACAUGUAAAAGAGGAUAAUCAGGACAAACAUAAAAUAAUGAAUAAUAUGGAGAUUCUCUUUACAAAACUAAGGAAGGGAGGCGCUUUAUGAGAUAAACAGUUGUUGAUGCAGCUUUAACCCGAAAACUUUGAGAAAUAUGAGAGUCAUGCAUAAGGGUCAUAACAACUUCUGGAUAAGGUGAAUUUUCCUUUCAGUUACGCCAUUCUGUUGUAGAGUAUAGGGACAAGUUUUCUGUGAUUGAAUACCCUUAGUUUUAAAAUGGUUUUGAAAAUCAUAUGAUAAGUAUUUCCCCUAGAGUCUGAUCGUAAGAUUUUUACUUUUGUACCAAACUGGGUUGCAACCAUUGAUAAAAAAGUUUUAAAAUGGUAAAACACUUUAGAUUUUUGGCGCAUAAAGUAUAUUCAAGUAUAGCGUGCACAAUCAUCAAUGAACAAAACAAAAUACUUAUAUUUCAUUUUGGAUAAAAUUGGAGCAGGACCCCAUACAUCACGAUGAAUAAGAUGAAAAUGUGCAGUUGCUUUUUCUACUAUACUAUGAAAAGGCAUACAAGUGCUUUAAUUUAAAGAACAACUAAUGAAAGAUUUAUUGAUAGAUUUUAAAUUAAGUACUUUAUUGGGCAACGAACUAGAAAGAAACAAAUAAUCUAAUAUAUUUGCAUUCAGAUGACGAAGUCUCCGAUGCCACGUAUGCCGCUUAUUAGAAAUAGAAAAAUUCAAAUCCGAUGGAGAAAAGAAAGAAGCAUCACGGUUUGGUUUUUCAAACUCCGAGACAAAUAGAUGACCAAUUCUAUGCCCCUUCCCUUUCAUUGUCUUAGUGCGUAGGUAUGUAUUACACAACCAUCACGAGAAAAAUUGAACAUUGUAACUAUCAUCAAUAAGUUGGCGACAGAGAUUAGAUUAAUAGUUAAUUUAGGAACAAAGAGAACAUUAGGUAAACAAAAAGGUGCACCAGAGGAAACACAGAGUGAGAGAUUAUCAGUAUCAGUAAUAGUCAGUUUCUUUUCAUUAGCUGUGAGAAUCUGAUUAUUACCUUGGUACAGUUUAGUGGAUCAUGGACUUGAGUGCACUUUAGUCAUAUGAUUAGACGCAUCCGAAUCAAUAAACCAAAGGGGAUUCACACUAAGGGAUAUGUGAGAAUUCAUAUAAAAUAAGCCCUUAGGAGAGAAAGUUGAAGAGAUAGUCGUAGACACAGAGUUUUGUAUCAAUUGUUGAAUAUCAUCUAGCACAGCAGUUGUUUGGGAACCUGCCGCAUUGGGGGCAUCAUUAGCAGCUUGGUAUGCCUUGUAAAAAGGUUUCCUUGUAUCUGAUGCCCUGUUGCCUCACUGAGGACGAUUUCAACACUCCGUGAUAAUGUGCCCUAGACGUUUGCAAUAAUAUCCAAAAAAUAUUUCUUACAAUGGGAAAUAUGACCAUAUUCUUUACGAUUAUAACAUUGCAGCAAUGAUGGGUUCUUUUGUUGUGGAUUUUCCCUGGCUCGUUGAGCCACAAAGACGGACCCUAUAUCCUUCUUUCCCUCAAUGGUGACAUGUGUUGCAUUUCUCGUCUCCUCACGAAAUAAAUCACCCAAAAUGACAUCCAUAUUGGGCAAUAUUUUCACGAUUCAAAAUAUUUGCUCGAAUUAUUCCAUAUUGUAUGCGCAACUUUAUUAGGAAUUGCAUCAUCUUCUUGUCUUCGUUAAUCUCCUUUAGGCUUCUAAUGCAAGAAGCACUGAUGAUAGUCAUUAUACUUAUAGAUUCAUAUUUUGUCCACAAGUUCAUAAAACCAGCAUAAUAUUCCUGGAUGUUUUUUUCCCUCUUUCCAUAGAUAAACAUCUCAUAUUCGGUCCGGAAUAACUUUGCAAGAUUUAAUUGCUAAUAGAUAUUUUCUAGAUAUUUCCUCAAUUAUUUUACAAUGCGGAAGCCUUUCAUUGGUCUUCCAAUGUCCAUAUCCAAAGAACCGAGGAUCCAUGAAACCAUAUUUGGAUUGUUGAUUUUCCAUUGUUGGAUUUCUUUAAUAUUGAGUGGAUCAGGUUGAGUUGUAGUUCCAUCAAUAUAUCCAUACAAACCUUUUCCUUCAACAAAAAGCUGAAAAUGGAAGCUCCAAUCGGUAUAUUUUUACGCAUCAAUUUUUAUAGCCAGCACUUCUCCUUUUUCAGAAGCCAUGUUCAAAUUGUAUGAGCACCCUCUCAGAUGUGAGCAAGAGCUUGGAUUUGUGAUCAAAACUCAUAUGCACGAGUUUUGUUUUGUAACAAAAUCUUGAAAGACCGAGACAAUGGAGCGAGGAACUUUUCAAUGUAAUCUAAGAGAGGUCAAGUAACAAGCAAAGGUAAGACGGUGACCAAGGCUUUGAUGAUUUAUGCUCACGUGAAGAACGAACAACAAAUGCAGCGUUAAAAGAAAAAUCGAACGAAACCCUAGAAUCAAAAUAAAACCUUGACAAUGGAAUGACGACUUCAAAAAAAAGAGCGAGAACCCCAUAACCCCAUCUGAAGAAGCAGCCAAUGAAAAAAAAAACUUUCACUGACGACGGUGAAAAACAAUUUGCAAGCAACAAAGGAAGAGGUUCAAAGAUAAUUAUUGGAGAUGGUGAAUACUGGUGACGGUUACAACCAAUUUGCAAGCGCAAUUUGCAUAACGCAGUUUGCAACAUAAGCAAGAAGUUAAAAAGGUUUGAAGCAAAAGAUUAACGUGUUGGGACAAAAAUAUUAGAUAUGGUAAAACAAUAUUAGAGACAGUGAAUACUAAAGGAAAACUGCGAUCACAAAGAAGCAACCCAAUUCUGAAACAAAAAUUGAAAAAAAAAAAUCCGCAAAGUAAUUCAGUUAGAGAAAUACCUUGUCGAAAAGAAAAAUUAGUAUUGGAGUGGCCAGAUUCGUCAGAGAUUGCUGAUAUUGAAAAUUGCUUACUGCGAUCUUGUUUCGAGAGAGAGAUCCACGAUGGCCGAAAGGAAUGAAAGAGAUUGAUUCAACAGCCACAGGAUGGCCGAUCAAGGAACCAUUCACAAAUAGGAAUGGACAAUAGAUAGAAACGGGACAAUAAUGAAAUCUUGCUCUAAUACCAUGUAAAACACUCAAAGAGGCAGAGGAAAAACAUAUAUCUAUUGUCUAUUAUCAAUAUUUACAUAAAAUACAGCCAAAGAUAACUUGCACCACAAGUUACCUUGCGAAGCAAGAUAAGUUACAAUAAGUGACUUUCUAUACAUAAUAUAAUAUAAAAUAAAUACAAGAUCUUCAAUUGUCUCUACAUUCCAUAUCGAGCUUCAAUCCUCAAAAUAAUUUUUGAAUGCCACGUGGUGACGAACCUGGUUGCAUUAGAGAUGAUAUGUUCCUGUAUUUGUGUUGUUCUCUGCGCUAGAAUAAAGGUGUGACAUUUCUCUCUUUCCAUAUUUUUAUUUUGUUGUGUUCUAAUAGAUAAAGUUGUGAGAGUUAUUUCUCUGUCUGAAAAGGAUAUAGUCUCUUUGCCAUAAUGGUGUGCUUCCUGGUUUAGUUCGUUGUGAUCCAUGAAUGGAUCAAGACAGAGACUUUGUCCUAUGGAAAAACGACGAUCUUUAUUUGGUUGGUUGUGUUUCGUCACGGAACUCUAAAUUGAUUUGGUACCACCCGUCAUCAUCUAGGCCUUCUCCCAACUACUUGGAGUUCGCCUUAUUUUACAAACAUAAGUUUAGAAAUAGUUUAUACAAGGUUACGAUGUCAAACUAUGGAAAAAAGACACGCAUAAACAAUCCAAGGAAAAUGGUUGUUUUGGUGGUGAAAAACCAUUAGUCGAUCAUCUAGACCUUGAGAUGUAUGGAUGUGGGGAAAAAAAGAUUUUAAAGUACCAAAAAGGGCACGUCUUGUAAUACAUUAUCCAAAUUGUCUAUUCUCAAUAUUUUUAUGUGUUUGUAGAUUUGCUCAAUAUGUACCACUUUUUGAAUUUUAAAUUUCAGAACUAGAUGUGAAGUAGUUUUUCAGGGCAUCAUUGAAAUUCUCGAAACCAAAUUUCAUCUUUCUAUGAAUUUUGGAAGUGCGCCUUAAUUCUAUUGUUUUAGGAUGAUAUGCAUUACUGAACUGUAGAAUCGUACCUAGCUUAGACCAUGGUGUUUUCCAAAAUUGACUCAGUAAUCUAGUAUCUCGAUCAAAGGUGAUCGACUUAGGUACAACACAAAAAAGAACUUCUCUAAAAAAAAUAUAUUUUCUUUUGACAGGGAAUGAAAUGUGUAAUUUUCAAAAAAUGGUCCAUUAUUGCAAACACAAAUUCAUCAGUUUUGACCGCAUAAGUUUUGAGCAAUGUUGUAAAACUAGGGAGACCCCACACUCGCCCACCAUACUUGAACUUGGCAACAUGCCGAGUCCAAGUAGGUGGCUGACAAAACUCGAGUGACUCGUAUGUGCCUAAAGUACUCCAUUAAGAGUAUACUAUGUAAUUGUUCUAUUCAUUAAAGAACCACUUAUAGAAUUUUAUAGGUUUAAAAUUUAGUGAACGAUUAUUCAAAAUGAGUAUUUCAAAAGAAAAGUUUAAAUUUUUAAUAAAACUUUUAGGUGAUGUAUCAUGUAGCGAGAUGACCAUAAAAUACUGAUAUAUUACACAAUUAUUAAUUAUUAGGAAAAGUAUCCCGUGCAUGUGUAAGGGUGGUAGGGUGCCCAAGCACCCUUCUAAGGGUUGAGAUCCCCGUAUGGCCAUGUCCGAGGGCCAAAAAUUAGUCCCAUAUUUUAUUUUAUUUAUUUAAGUAAUACAUUUAUCGGAAUCUUGAAUUAAUAAGUGUAUUUUUGUAAAUAUAAUUAGAUAAAAAUGAUUAAAAAUAUUUCAAAUAAAAAUGACAAAAAUACCUUUAUAUUUGUUUUGGUCAAUAAUUUUAUUCAAACUAUUUUUUUUUCUAAUUUUAUUCAAUCUUACAAAAAUAAACCUAAAAUUCAAAAUUCAGAUUAAUAUCAUUUUAAAAUAAAAAUAAAAAAUAGAAAACGAGAUUCAUUAUUAGCCCUUGGAACCAUUAAAAAAGCUGUGGACGAAAUACAAACCUAAAUUACUAUUCUUGAACUUAUCAUCCUUUUCAUUGCCGUUCUUAUAAAAUUUGAAUUUGAGUAAUUCCGAGCCAAGCUCCAAACCUCAAAACAAUUUCUUGAUGCCAUGUGGUGAAAAAGUCGGUGGCGUUUGAGAUGAUACGUUCUUGUAUUUCUCUUCACUAGAAUAAAGUUGUGACAGUUCUUUCUCUGUUUGUUUUUGUUUUGCUGGUUCUAUUCGAUAAAGUUGUGAGAGUUAUUUCUCUCUCCAAAAAGGAGAUAACCUCUUGCCACUUCCUGUUUUAGUUCAUUGUGAUUAAGACAGAGAGCUUCCCCUAUGGCAAAUUGAUGAUCUUUAUUUGGUUGGUUGCGUGUUUCGUCCUGCAACUCUAAGUAGAUUCAUCACCACUUGUUAUCAACAUAGCUUCUUCCCAAUUACUUCUGGUCUGAUUUUUAAAAAAAGUUUUAAUAAAAAUUUCUACAAGGUUACGACUUCAAACUGUAAAAAAAAAAAAGACGCGUCUAAAAAAUGCAUCGAAUGAGGUUGUUUUGAUAGUGAAAAAGCUUUUAAUUGUUCAUCUCAUUCUUCAGUUGUUCAGACAUGGGAAAAAAAAAAAGAUUUUAAAAGACAUGCCUAAAAAAUCCAUCGAAUAAAGUUGUUUUGGUAGUGAAAUAUCUUUUAAUUGUUCAUUUCGAUCUUGAGAUAUACGGAUGUGGGAAGAAAAAGAUUUUAAAGUACCAAAAAUUAUACAUCUUGUAAUAUAUUAUCUAGAUUGUCUAUUCAAUCAUCAAAAUAAUUUUUGAAUGCCAAGUGGUGAUGAACCUGGUUGCGUCUGAGAUGAUAUGUUCUUAUAUUUGUGUUGUUCUCUUCUCUAGAAUAAAGUUGUGACAUUUCUCUCUUUCUUUAUUUUUGUUUUGUUGUGUUCUAUUAGAUAAAGUUGUGAAAGUGAUUUCUCCGUCUAAAAAGGAUAUAGUCUCUUUGCCAUAAUGGUGUGCUUCCUGGUUUAGUUCGUCGGGAUCCAUGAGUGAAUCAAGACAGAGACUUUCUCUUAUGGAAAAACAACGAUCUUUAUUUGGUUGGUUGUAUUUUGUCCCGCAACUCUAAAUAGACUUGGUACAACCCGUCAUCAUCUAGGCCUUCUACCAACUACUUGGACUUCACUAUAUUUUUAAACAUAAGUUUAGAAAAAGUUUAUACAAGUUUACGAUGUCAAACUAUAGAAAAAAGACACGCAUAAACAAUCGAAGGAAAAAGGUUAUUUUGGUUGUGAAAAACCAUAAGUUAAUCAAAGAAAAAAAUUUAAAGUACUAAAAACGGUAUGUCAUGUACUAUAUUAUCUAGAUUGUCUAUUCUCAAUAUUUUUAUGUGUUUGUAGAUUUGCUCUAUCUCUAUUAAUUUUUUAGUUUUAAAUUUUAUAACAAGAUAUGAAAUAGUUUUUCAAGGCAUCAUUGAAAUUCUUGAAACCAAAUUUCAUCUUUCGAUGAAUUUUGGAGGUGCCCCUUAAUUCUAUGGUUUUAGGAUGAUAUGCAUUGCUAAACCGUAGAAUCGUACCUAACUUUGACCACGGUGUUCUCCAAAACUGACUCAGUAAUAUAGUAUCUCAAUCGGAGGUGAUCGACUUAGGUACACCAUGAAUAAUAGCUUCUCUAAAUAAAAUAUAUUUUCUUUUGACAGGGAGAGAAAUGUACAAUUUUCAAAAAAUAGUCCACUAUUACAAUCAUAUAAUCAUAAGUUUUGACCGCAUCAGUUUUGAACAAUGUAGUAAAACUAGGGAGACCCCACUCGCCCACCAUACUCGAACUUGACAACAUGCCGAAUCCAAGUAGGUGGUUGACAAAACUAGGGUGACUCCAGCAUUUUGGUAUUAUAACUUGGAUGGACUUGACCGGGUCCUUGAUAGACGCAACCAAGUCUAUAUGAAUGACACUGACUCAGGAUCCGGCCAAGUCCGGAUUUUUGAUUUUGAACAUUGAGGUUUUACCAAAUCGUUCUUGUUUUCACCACAUUUCAAUCUCAAAUUGAACAAUGAAGUAAAUGUGAAAAGCAAAUGAUGCUCCAACUUUCAUAUGCAAUAAUUUCAAUUUUGCGGCCAUUUAAGUGACUACAAGAAGCAUGCCAAUCAGCGGGCCUCAAAAUCCCUACUAUAUAUAUAUAUCUACACACACAGACAUAGAUGAAGAGAAGGAUACAAGAGCAUAAAGAAGAUGAACAUUCAAGAUGAGGAAGUUGAAGGCCAGGCUGAGUUUUGGCAGCUCACUCUGGCUUUCAUCGACUCCCUUGUACUAAGAUGUGCAGUCGAGCUUGGCAUAACCGACCUAAUCAAAGCCAACAAUGGCGAGCCAGUCACACUCACACAGAUUGUUGCUUCCCUCAUGUCACCUCCUCCAGACACAAUUGCUGUCACAAAUCAUGCGCUUCCUCACUAGGAAGCAUGUGUUUAGUGUAGAGGUGAGGCAGGGUGAGGCCUAUUAUGGUCUCACUCGCAUCUCAAAGUGGUUAGUGGGGGCCAAGGAUUCAGGUCUCGCACCCCUGUUGAUGUUGGUGAGCCACCCCACCUCCAUGAGGCCAUGGUAUUGCCUGAGCCGGUGUGUGAAGGAAGGGGAGAGGGACGCUUUUAAGAAUGCCUAUGGGAGUCGGUUAUGGGAGUAUGCCUCAGAGAAUCCUGAAUAUAAUGGCUUGUUCAACGAGGCCAUGGNNN
rnacentral:lncRNA from 1 species